AGAUACAAGGUACUGCAUUUACUUCAGGCAUGCAGAGGUUUCAGAGAUAGUUCAACAUAGUUGUUCAUUUUUUUCCCUGUCAGAAAUGAUAUUCCUAUUUUGUCUGUGUCUUAUCUCCCUCUUAAUAGGUGAUGUCUCUAGUGAGGGAAUAGCACCAGUCUCUCCUAAUGAAUUUGUCUCAGAAGGUAAAACAAUCACCCUGUCCUGCAAUUACAAUGGAUCAACUGCUACAGAUGCUCUCCACUGGUAUCGUCAGUACCCGAGAUCCAGACCAGACUUCCUGUUUCUGGUUAAUGAAGCUAAAUUUAAGCAACCAGCUGAGCCUCCAAUUCCUGGAAUAUCUGCUAGAUUAAAUGAGGAGAAGAAUCGUGUGGAUCUGGAGAUCACUGGCACCGCAUUAACUGAUUCUGCUCUGUAUUACUGCGCCCUGCAGCCCACAGUGACAGGAAACACACACGCACUGUGCAAAAAUGAGGAAACUGAAAUCUGUGUGUCUGUGCUCAAUGUUAAGGAACUGUUGGAUGAUUGUGCAUUUGGGCAUUUUAAUCCAGCACUUGGAAUCCAAUGAUUAAUGAUCUUAUCAUUGUCUCCUUAAAAAAACAACUGACCUUUUGUUCAAGAACACAGAAUAUGUGUCACUAUGAAAUACAUAAUACCAGAAUUCAAAGAAAUGUAUCUGACUGAAUGAAUGCAGCCACAGUACAAUGGUGCCAGUGCGCUCACCACACACCAGCUGUAGGUGGAGAGGAGAGAAAGUAAUAGAGCCAAUUCAAUAGAUAGGGAUUUAUGUAUUUAAAAAAAAAAAAAAAAAAAAAAAACAUUCUAACAAUUCAGACUUUUUUAUGCUCAUGAUCAAAGCUUUUCUUUUUCUUUUCUUUUUUUCAUUACUGCAUAUUUUCCUGGCAUAUGUAUACAAACAUAUUGAUAUAUCUAAAUUAUUCAUUAAUGAAGUAUGGUGUGAUCACAGGUUUGUUGCUUACUUUCAAUAUCAUUAUCACAUUUUGCAUCAUAAAUCUUUUUCUCAUAUGAAAAACUAUAUAUUAAUAUGCAAAAUGUAUUUCACAGUCUUCCAUGUAUGGCAUGUUUUAUGUAAUCAUAAUCACACUGAAAUAUGUGCACUGUAAACCCGAAUAAGUUGGCAAAACUCAAAAAAAUCGAGGCAAUUUUUAAGUUAAGAAAUUCAAAGUUUAAGUAGCAGAACUGGUAGAUUUUUAUGUUGUACUCACACAUUUUAAUUGUUCUUAACUUGAAAUGUUUGACAGUCAUACAUUUAACUUAAAAUUAUCAUGUAACCCCAAUGUAAACAUUUUUAUUAAUGUAAAAUUAGUUAUAAGAAGCUAGUUCAGAAAAUGCCAACUUGCUAAUUAUGGUAUAGCGCUUGCUGAAUGAGUGCAGCAAUAUAACAUACUUGCUCUCAAACGAAGUCGCAUGCACCAUUUGUCACCAUGAUGGUAACUCUCUUAACAUUAAUCUUGCACAAUAUAGGUGUACCGUAGUGAUUCAGGAUAAGACAAAAACACAGUUUGGAAAAUGGAUUCAU